rnacentral:misc_RNA from 1 species
CCUAAAACUAUGAAGGAAAGAGAAAAAUACAAAUCAACUCCUUCCAGCGCACGUAUAUACAAACAUAAAGUUGGUAACACAGACAACGCUGGAUAUCACAGAGAAAGAGAACUUAGUGUUUUUCGUUUAUUUACUCUUCAUUCACAAGCACCAUAAAACCUUUAUACGGAUGUGAUUGUUGAGCUACUAAAGAUGGGAACUCCAGCAAAUAAAUUGAUGAGGAGAGCAUUACAACCAAGGAAAGAGAGUGCUAGUGUCUGGAAGACGGAAGAAAGUAUUACAGCCAGUCAGUGUCCAGAGUCUCUGUGAUAUAAACGCCCUGUAAGCUUCAUCCUUUUCAACCAUAGCCUCCACCACAUCAAAAUCGAGUCCAACGUUUCCCAGAUGCAACCAAUGGGCUCAGUCAGAUCCAGCACUGCUAGGCGCUCUGACACAUCAGCUAAUGAUUU